UACGGAAGGCAGCAGUGGGGAAUAUUGCACAAUGGGCGAAAGCCUGAUGCAGCUAUGCCGCGUGUAUGAAGAAGGCCUUAGGGUUGUAAAGUACUUUCAUCGGGGAGGAAAAACAAAACUAAUAAUUUUAUUUCUUGACGUUACCCGAAAAAGAAGCACCGGCUAACUCCGUGCCAGCAGCCGCGGUAAUACGGAGGGUGCUAGCGUUAAUCAGAAUUACUGGGCGUAAAGAGCACGUAGGUGGUUUUUUUAAGUCAGAUGUGAAAUCCCUAGGCUUAACCUAGGAACUGCAUUUUGAAACUGAAAUACUAGAGUAUCGUAGAGGGAGGUAGAAUUCUAGGUGUAGCGGUGAAAUGCGUAGAUAUCUGGAGGAAUACCUGUGGCGAAAGCGGCCUCCUAAACGAAUACUGACACUGAGGUGCGAAAGCGUGGGGAGCAAACAGGGAUUAGAUACC
rnacentral:rRNA from 1 species